rnacentral:rRNA from 1 species
AUUGAACGCUGGCGGCAGGCCUAACACAUGCAAGUCGAGCGGAUGAAGGGAGCUUGCUCCUGGAUUCAGCGGCGGACGGGUGAGUAAUGCCUAGGAAUCUGCCUGGUAGUGGGGGAUAACGUCCGGAAACGGGCGCUAAUACCGCAUACGUCCUGAGGGAGAAAGUGGGGGAUCUUCGGACCUCACGCGAUCGGAUGAGCCUAGGUCGGAUUAGCUAGUUGGUGGGGCAAAGGCCUACCAAGGUGACGAUCCGUAACUGGUCUGAGAGGAUGAUCAGUCACACUGGAACUGAGACACGGUCCAGACUCCUACGGGAGGCAGCAGUGGGGAAUAUUGGACAAUGGGCGAAAGCCUGAUCCAGCCAUGCCGCGUGUGUGAAGAAGGUCUUCGGAUUGUAAAGCACUUUAAGUUGGGAGGAAGGGCAGUAAGUUAAUACCUUGCUGUUUUGACGUUACCAACAGAAUAAGCACCGGCUAACUUCGUG